UCGCAAGCCUUCCAGCGUGGCCAGGUCUUCCCCAUGACCCUGAUCAUUCCUGUAGCGCUUGCAAGAUCAGAAAUGUGAUGGUUUGAGGCCUUUCUCUGCUCCAACUUCAGAGAGAGGUUAUAGAAAUCUCAAACAAGC